rnacentral:rRNA from 1 species
GUGAGGAAUAUUGGACAAUGGGCGCAAGCCUGAUCCAGCCAUGCCGCGUGCAGGAAGACGCAUCUAUGGUGUGUAAACUGCUUUUGUACGGGAAGAAACACUCCCUCGUGAGGGAGCUUGACGGUACCGUAAGAAUAAGGAUCGGCUAACUCCGUGCCAGCAGCCGCGGUAAUACGGAGGAUCCAAGCGUUAUCCGGCAUCAUUGGGUUUAAAGGGUCCGUAGGCGGUUUAAUAAGUCAGUGGUGAAAGCCCAUCGCUCAACGAUGGAACGGCCAUUGAUACUGUUAGACUUGAAUUACAAGGAAGUAACUAGAAUAUGUAGUGUAGCGGUGAAAUGCUUAGAUAUUACAUGGAAUACCAAUUGCGAAGGCAGGUUACUACUUGUGGAUUGACGCUGAUGGACGAAAGCGUGGGGAGCGAACAGGAUUAGAUACCCCAGUAGUCC